rnacentral:antisense_RNA from 1 species
AAAGAUCGCAGCCUUCGGCAGCUCCUACAGGAGUGUGUGUACACCCGUAGAAGCUGCCGAAGGCUGCGAUCUUU